rfam:Cajanus cajan CcLG10_221, whole genome shotgun sequence.
UUUGUUCACUCUCCCUCAAGGGCUUCUCACUAGAACUAACCGUUGAAUACAAGAACGAAGCUAGCUAGAGGCCCCUGGGGGAGGAGUAAAUAA